GCGUUGUAGCUCAGUGGUAGAGCAGUUCCGGUUCUCUUGUCGGAAAAGGGCAUGGGUUCAAUUCCCAUCAACUGCGCAA
rnacentral:tRNA from 1 species